CCGAGUUUACAACUCCCAAACCCCUAUGUGAACGUUACCAAAAUGUUGCCUCGGCGGGGAAUUUAUUCAUGCCCCGGGCGCGUCGCAGCCCCGGACCAAGGCGCCCGCCGGAGGACCAACCAAAACUCUUUUUGUAUACCCCCUCGCGGGUUUUUUUUUUACUUCUGAGACUUUCUCGGCGCCCCUAGCGGGCGUUUCGAAAAUGAAUCA
rnacentral:misc_RNA from 1 species